AGUGAACGCUGGCGGUAGGCCUAACACAUGCAAGUCGAACGGCAGCACAGUAAGAGCUUGCUCUUACGGGUGGCGAGUGGCGGACGGGUGAGGAAUACAUCGGAAUCUACUUUUUCGUGGGGGAUAACGUAGGGAAACUUACGCUAAUACCGCAUACGACCUACGGGUGAAAGCAGGGGAUCUUCGUACCUUGCGCGAUUGAAUGAGCCGAUGUCGGAUUAGCUAGUUGGCGGGGUAAAGGCCCACCAAGGCGACGAUCCGUAGCUGGUCUGAGAGGAUGAUCAGCCACACUGGAACUGAGACACGGUCCAGACUCCUACGGGAGGCAGCAGUGGGGAAGAUUGGACAAUGGGCGCAAGCCUGAUCCAGCCAUACCGCGUGGGUGAAGAAGGCCUUCGGGUUGUAAAGCCCUUUUGUUGGGAAAGAAAAGCAGCAGGUUAAUACCCCGCUGUUCUGACGGUACCCAAAGAAUAAGCACCGGCUAACUUCGUG
rnacentral:rRNA from 1 species